rnacentral:lncRNA from 1 species
CCUCCCUUAAAGCCAGGGCUGCUAUGUGUGUUUAAGUUUUUAAUAUUUUUUUGUUUAAAUAUUUUAAGCUACCUUAGGCCCUUUUGAGGAGAAAGGUGGGGUAUAAAUUUUAAAAAUAAAUAAAUAAAUAAAUAAAUAAAUGAGGGACCCCCUGGCACCAUGGUGACGAUAUAAGGCCACAGAGAACCCAGCUUCACAGUUGACUAAAGAACAGCAUUAAGUUGGUGCAAUCAUACGCCCAGCCAGCAGCAAUAGGCACACCACAAUAGCAGUGUCAACGAAAGACAAUACAGUAAGACUAAAGGACUCUGCAUUUACUCACAGGGUUGCAUAGCAAUAAAACACCGCUGUUCCCAGUGGAUAGUGAACUUGCAUACACGCUCAACUGGGCAGUCAGAAGUGGACCGCAGUGCUUUCCCUGCAUGUUUGGUAAUGUUUGUUUUUAGCUACCAAAGCUACCAAAGCAGUAUCUCUGUGGGGAAUGUUUCUGUGUGACAUGUUUGGUGCUUGGGCUUUUUGGAAUGGACAGUGAAGGGAGGGUCAUGGAUAUAAGAAGAAUGGAAGGCUGUUUUGAUAACAACACUUUUCUUUACCAGAACACAGAGUGGUGAGCUUCACACCCCUUCCAUUUUAGAAAGGAAGAUUCAAAACUGUCCUAGAAAAGUUGAGGAGCAAGAUAUUUUUUCCAUUUAUCCGAUGCAAACCAUACUGAACCCACAGACAGGUUUUUUCAUCAACACAGGCACUGCCAGCUUCUUCUUCUCUUGGAAAUUCCCUGAGGCUUCAGUUCAUGCCCUGAGGCCAAUGUCCUUUACUUUAGGAAUUGCUUAACAACAAUAUGGACUGGAAAACAUUAUAACAUCACCCAGCAGAAAAAGUGGUUUCAACCACUGGAAGAGUAUACUAUUUUACUGGUCUCAAAAGUUCAUUCUAUGAGCAAGCCAAAAUAUCCUUAAGAUUGAAUUUGGAACAUCUUUACCGGAAAAAAAAUUCCAUUUCACUUUUAUAUAUAUACUACUUGAAGAAAUAUAAAGCUCUAAAUGAUUCAGGACCUUGAUAUCUAGCGGAAUGCCUCCUCCCACCUAGAUCUACCUGAGUCACUCAUUCUAACCAAGAAGGACUGAGGGGCCUAACGCCGAGGGAGCCCCGGAGAGAAACAAGAAACUGUGCCUUCUUGGCAGCAGCUCCUCGCCUCAGGAACAGUCAGCCCACAGAGAUCUGUCUGGCUCUCUUGGUGGGUGUUCUUAAGAGCAAACUUAAGACCUGGCUCUUUAGGCAAGUUUUUCCUCCUGUCAUCACCUGAUUAUUUUUCCCGUCUUGAACUAUAUUAUUACUGCUGUUUUAAUUUUAGUAUAUUGUUUUUACUUUUAUCUAUUAUUGUUAGCCGUCCAGAGUAGUCUUUGGUCUAGAUGGGUGGGGUAUAAAUAAAUAAAUAAAUAAAUAAAUAAAUAAAUAAAUA